UAGGGAAUAUUGGGCAAUGGCCGAGAGGCUGACCCAGCCAUGCCGCGUGCAGGAAGAAGGCCUUCUGGGUUGUAAACUGCUUUUAUCUGGGAAGAAAACGCCCCUGCGGGGGUAACUGACGGUACCAGAUGAAUAAGCACCGGCUAACUCCGUGCCAGCAGCCGCGGUAAUACGGAGGGUGCAAGCGUUGUCCGGAUUUAUUGGGUUUAAAGGGUGCGUAGGCGGCCCUGUAAGUCAGCGGUGAAAUCCCAGGGCUCAACCCUGGAACUGCCGUUGAUACUGCAGGGCUUGAGUUCGGUUAAGGCGGGCGGAACUGGUGGUGUAGCGGUGAAAUGCAUAGAUACCACCAAGAACCCCGAUUGCGUAGGCAGCUCGCUGAGCCGAAACUGACGCUGAGGCACGAAAGCGUGGGGAGCGAACAGG
rnacentral:rRNA from 1 species